CUCAGCUACGCCAAUCUCUGUAUAACCACCAUUGAUUCAUAGAUGAUUAGGCAUACUAUUUUCUAAGACACGUCUGCCAUAGAAUUUAGUCUCACCAAAGACGGGUCGAAAAGGAAUUCAAACAGCCAUCACAGAUUUACUAUAACAAAAAAACGAACAAAUCGCUGUAAGUAUAUCUUCCACCCACCAAAUCUCAAGUGCCUUAUCCGCAUUCAUAUUUAUAUAUAUGCCAUCAUGUAAUUUUUAAAAUUUAUGACACGUGAAUAUAUUUAGAGCUGUAAUUAUAAUCUCAGUGAAUGCUUGAACCACACGUGAAUAUAUUUGGGAUAUCUGAGAUAUAUGCAAGCAUUCAAAAUUUGGUGGGUCUGAGCUAUGUUUGAGAUAUAUUUGAGAUAUCUUGGGUCGGGCAUUAUUUGAGUUAUAUGUUACCCGACAGAAAGUGUUAUUCUUAUUUGUCUCAACAGUUGUAUUGCACAUGUAACUCAGCAGAUGGCACCUGUUAGUAUGAAUCCAAUGAUCUGGGCAUUACUUGAGUUAUAUGUUAUUCUUAUAUGUUAGUAUGAAUCCAAUCAUCCAGAUAACGGUUCCAUCUUUGUUUCAGCAGAUGGCACCUGCACCAUGGUUUCCACCAAUACCACCUGUAACUUGCGGUUUUUGGAAUGCCACAAAUGUGCAAGGUUUCCUAAAAGAAUUCCAUAACACUCUUGAUCUUGCAGAAGCAAUGUGAGUAUACAAUAAUCAUUUCUAAAGCGAGCUGUUCAACUUUUAGUGUGAUAGAUCUUUAAGAUUUAGGGUUUCUUGUUGGGAGAAACAGUUGGAGAUGUUUAUUGCAAUGAAAGGUAUAUUACUGGUGCUAAUUUUUUAUUUAAUUAUCUGAUGUUUAGCAUUGCUAACAGUUAUCAGGUCCCAUUCAAUCUAAACUUUUCAACUCAAGCAUGAGCCUAAUAUAUUUCAUAUAAGGGUUGUUCAAUAUAAAAUUCCAGACCAUGUUCACUUAUCUGAAGACUGUAGACAUCUUCUUUCUCGUAUAUUCGUUGCCAAUCCAUCCAAAAGGAUCACCCUAAAGGAAAUUAAAAGUCAUCUGUGAUUUCUAAAGAACUUACGGUGAGAACUAACAGAAUCCACAAAGGCUGCGUAUUACAGGAAGGAAAACCCGACGUUUUCUAAAAACCACCCGUGUUUGCACACGGGUCGUACCGCUAGUACUAAUAAAAGAAUGAAGUUAAUGCCAAAUGGCAUUCUCUCAUUUCAUUUACUU